rnacentral:rRNA from 1 species
UUCCGUUUAUUUGAAGUUAAUUUUUUGGUGAAAAAGCUAAAAUUUUCUUAGAGGACGAUAAGACCCUAUAGAUCUUUAUAAGACUAUAUUAGAUCUUUAGGUGUUAUCAUUCUAGUAAAACUCUUAUUCCGUUGGGGCGACGUUGAGGGUUGAUACAUCUCUCAAAAUAAUUUUACAUCUAUUAAUGAUUUUUGAUCCUUCAAUGAAUUAAGAUGAAGUUACCUUAGGGAUAACAGCGUAAUUUUUCUUGAGAGUUCUUAUCG